rnacentral:rRNA from 1 species
AUUGAACGCUGGCGGCAGGCUUAACACAUGCAAGUCGAGCGGGGGAAGGUAGCUUGCUACCGGACCUAGCGGCGGACGGGUGAGUAAUGCUUAGGAAUCUGCCUAUUAGUGGGGGACAACAUCUCGAAAGGGAUGCUAAUACCGCAUACGUCCUACGGGAGAAAGCAGGGGAUCUUCGGACCUUGCGCUAAUAGAUGAGCCUAAGUCGGAUUAGCUAGUUGGUGGGGUAAAGGCCUACCAAGGCGACGAUCUGUAGAGGGUCUGAGAGGAUGAUCCGCCACACUGGGACUGAGACACGGCCCAGACUCCUACGGGACGCAGCAGUGGGGAAUAUUGGACAAUGGGGGGAACCCUGAUCUAGCCAUGCCGCGUGAGUGAAGAAGGCCUUAUGGUUGUAAAGCACUUUAGGCGAGGAGGAGGCUACUCUAGUUAAUACCUAGGGAUAGUGGACGUUACUCGCAGAAUAAGCACCGGCUAACUCUGUGCCAGCCGCCGCGGUAA